AAUUACUUGUAAUACUGUCAUAAAAGGAAGAUACUGGGAAUGACAACUAUAAUCAUUACAAUUACUAUUUAUUGAAGACCUAAUAUAAGCAAAAUGCUAUAUGUACAUUAUCAAUAAUUACUAUAAAAAGGCAUCAACUCCACUUCACAAAUGAGAAAACAGAGGCACUGAGAAUUCAAAAGGGCUACCUAAAGUUUUCCAGGUAAUGAGUAUGCAGCCAGAAUCUAAGCCCAGGUCUGGGCCUGGCUUUCUCAUUUCAUAAGUG